rnacentral:lncRNA from 1 species
ACACAACUUUAAAUGCUAAGAAAAAUAGCAGAAUUUGUAAAUGGGGAAGACUGUGACAAAUAUUUAGACUUCCAUGAUUGUAAGGGGCUGAAAGUCUGAAAGUAGGUGAAGAAUACAGACAACAAGCACUAUACGAUGGGUAGCCCAUGGCUUAAGCCUCAAAAAAAAAUUUUUCCAGAGUCACAAGAGGAUGGGAGAGGAGCAGUCUGCAAGCAGCCGUAGGAGCAAGACCUUGAGACGUGUCCAUCAAUGCUACGAUAGAUUCUGCUUUGGAGAUCAACAUGCUGUAUAUCACAAUAAUGAUGGGACUCACGGCAUGGAGGAUGGACAGAGGAGCUUUCUCCUGGAGUGGUAUUUCUGGAAUUUCUAGUGUCAGGUGCUACUUAAUAUCUCUCACAAGAAAAGAAGAAAUCCCUCUGCCUUUUAAUGUUCUGGGAAUAGAAAGAAUAAAGGAGACUGAGGUGAAUCCACCAAGGAGUAUAGCAAUUUCUAUUUGUCUCCUUAAUAGUCCAACACUUCACUCACACAACAAUGUUACGUAGUUUCAUCAAAUGAUGAGUCCAGCCCCUUUCUUCUGCAGAAAAUGUCAGUUCACUGCUCCUUGCCUACAAAAUAGAAAUUAGAGAGAUACCAGCUUUUCUAGCCAGACUACAAAAUUACUUUGACUAAAUCGCUAAAAAUUCAGCCUCUCUACCAAUUUCCACAAUACGUCUCAAAUGGUAACUUUAAUCUCUGUUUGUGCCUUUCAGGAAUCCAAUGAGCAAACAAUUCUUUCUCUAAAGCAACUCUCCCUUCAGCCCAUUGUGUUGUAGGUCUUUUCAGUCCCCUGAGAAACUCAUAAUUCCUGUAGCUGAUGUCCAUCUUCCCCAAAAUGUAUUACCAUUUAUUAUUUGCAUGUAUGUCCUUUUUCAU